rnacentral:rRNA from 1 species
CGCCGCGGUUAAACGAGAGGCCCCAGUUAAUAGUAUUACGGCGUAAAGGGUGGUUAAGGAGUAUAAACAAAUAAAGCCAAAUGGCCCCUUGGCCGUCAUACGCUUCUGGGUGUCCGAGGCCCUAUUACACGAAAGUAGCUUUAGUUAACCCACCUGACCCCACGAAAACUGAGAAA